GGACUUUGCAAACAACCUUGUGAUCGACGAUCUCGCUCGAUUCGCCGUCGAUGAACACAACAAGAAGCAGAAUACCCUGCUGGAAUUUGGUAAGGUACUGGAUGCAAAGGAGCAGUUGUAGCUGGUACAUUGUAUUUUAUCACACUUGAAGCAACUGAUGGUGGUGUCAAAAAGACUUACGAAGCCAAGGUUUGGGUUAAGGAAUGGGAAAACUUCAAAGAAUUGUUGGAGUUCAAGCCUGUUGAUGCUGC
rnacentral:lncRNA from 1 species